GGUGAAAUUGAGCCAAGAUAGGUACAUAAG
rnacentral:piRNA from 1 species